CGGACGGGUGAGUAACGCGUGGAUAACCUGCCGUAUACUGGGGGAUAACACUUAGAAAUAGGUGCUAAUACCGCAUAAGCGCACAGUCUCGCAUGAGACGGUGUGAAAAACUCCGGUGGUAUACGAUGGAUCCGCGUCUGAUUAGCUUGUUGGCGGGGUAACAGCCCACCAAGGCGACGAUCAGUAGCCGGCCUGAGAGGGUGAACGGCCACAUUGGGACUGAGACACGGCCCAAACUCCUACGGAAGGCAGCAG
rnacentral:rRNA from 1 species